rnacentral:lncRNA from 1 species
UGUGGUUAAUGUAAAUGAAUUGCUACAGACAGCAGUUUGAUCUGCUCUACUUAACUUGAAAUACAAAAAGUAACAUGAAGAGAGUCUUCAUUUCUCAGGCAAACUUCAGCAAGAUUGAAUCCGUGAAACUUCAUUCAUUAAAUUUUUAAGUGACCAUGAAUUUGUUGGCUUCAGUACCUGAAGUGUAACUUUAUCCUUUCAAUUAAAAGACAUAAUUCACCCUCAGACCUUUGGCUUUAACUUUUCAUAUAAUAUGUAAUUUUGGGUACACUUAAUGGUCAAAUUUUGUAUUAUUACAGGUGGAAAAACACCAGCCAUCUCAAGGGCUUUGUGCUUGCAAAAGCAUGUAAUUUCAUUUUUUUUUUGAACCAAUUUAAUCAAUGAUUGUAUCAUGUGAAUAAAUUUACAGUCUUGAUGAUUGCCUUAGUUUUGUGGGUGAUGGAGAGGAAGAUCACUUCCCCUUUUAAAAUGUCAUUUAAAUCUUGGGGAGCAGAGGGAGAUUAGGGGCCUAAUCCUUGUGAUAAAUUGUAGUAUUUAACUUUGCUAAGAUGCUAUAGCCUCAGAUUUUAUCAGUUAGAUACCAGCUUCAGCAGUUUUAGGUUGUAUUAACCCUUUAAAUACAGUCUCACUAUUCGCAUACAUAUUUCAAAAUUGAUUUAAUAUUUUUAGUUAGUCAUGGCUAAAGAAUGUUUCACUCAGAUCCUUAUUUUUUUCCUUUAAUAAAAAUGCUUCUCACUGUGCCGUGCAUAUUUCCAUAAAAGUCGGCAAGUUAAUUUAUGGCUUAAAAAAAGAAAAUAAAAGGUCUAUAUUUAAUAUAUGAAUACUUUUUACAGUGGAAAUUGGUGGUGGACAGUAUUAAAUGACUCCAGUGUGGAAAUAUGCAGGUGGUCAUUAGUAGCUGACUAUGAGAUUUACUGAAGAUUUUGAUAUUAAUUUUCCCGGCAUGCAGUACUAUAUAUAAAUCUAACUCUGUUCCCAAAUUAAUUUAAAUGGAUGAUAACAUAUGAAUAACUCUAGGCAUAUGAGGUUCAUUGUCUUCUCUCUCCUUUAGGGAAUAUAUAGUUUGCCUCAUUGUGAAACUGUAUUUUGACUACUUUUUCACCUGACUAGUUUCUCUAUUGCAAAAGAAUUAUUGCUUUUCUACUCAUAAAGAAUGUAUGGGAAACGGUACCCAAACACUUCUGGAAUAAAUGUGCUACAAAAAAAAAUCACAUAUCUGCUUGACUAAGUAUAUUAAAUAAAGACCAUAGAGAAAAAGGAGUAAGGUUCUAAAAGCACCUACUUCAGUUUUAAUUUUUUAGUAUGAUUGGCUUUUUCACUUCUGGUAAUAGUAUGUUUGGAAAAUAUACCUAUCUUUUCUUUAAAAAGAUGCAAGAAUCAUUUAGUGAAAAAUAUUUUGGAGGAAAUUACUUCAUCUUCGGCUCUCAGAUUCGUGAUUGUACCUCUCUAAGAUUCUAAUUUUAAUCAUUUUGUAGUUUGGAAAAGGAAAGAUGUUUCUCCUUUUAGCACAAAAUUACUUUAAACUGACUUUCACCAGAGGAAAAACAUGCCACUUAAAGUCACCCAACUGAAGAAAAUGAAGUCCAAACGCCCAAUAAAUGUUUACUUUGUUUUUAACACCUACUAUACUUUGAAUCCUGUCAUGGUAAUGUUUUAUGCACUGUUGAUCUUUAGAAGUCAAAAAAAAAAAAAAAAAGAAAAAA